UGGCUAUUGUUUGUUUAUAAUUUAAUAACAACUCAUUAAUGUGAUUUACUCAAAAUUUCAACUAAUUGUUCUAAGAAAUGCACCUGUUUAACUGAAACAAUAACGUGUAUCACGAAAAAUAAAGUUUUAUUUGGAAUAUAAUACAUUUAAGGAUCAGAAAUGCAACAGUUCUCCUCUUUUACGUCUUGCAAAUACAAUGUAGCAGUAUUAACAAAAGUGCUUAUUACAUGAAAUUAUAUUCUCAUGAAAGUGCAAUUUCUGACCAUAACCCAAGAAAAUGGAUAUGUGGAUAUUACAUUCCUAAAAAAAGUGGUUAAUGCCUUUGUUACAAAGCUUGUUAAAGAUUUAAAUGAUUGAUUGAAGUGUUCGUCAUU